rnacentral:rRNA from 1 species
AGCGAACGCUGGCGGCAGGCCUAACACAUGCAAGUCGAACGAACUCUUCGGAGUUAGUGGCGGACGGGUGAGUAACACGUGGGAACGUGCCUUUUGGUUCGGAAUAACUCAGGGAAACUUGUGCUAAUACCGAAUGUGCCCUUCGGGGGAAAGAUUUAUCGCCAUUAGAGCGGCCCGCGUCUGAUUAGCUAGUUGGUGAGGUAACGGCUCACCAAGGCGACGAUCAGUAGCUGGUCUGAGAGGAUGACCAGCCACACUGGGACUGAGACACGGCCCAGCCUCCUACGGGGGGGACGAGUGGGAAAUUUUGGGAAUGGGGGAAAAGCCUGCCCAGCCCAGGCCCGGGAAAGUAUAAAGGUUUUGGGUUUUUAAAAUUUUUUCCCCGGGGACGAUAAUGGCGGGACCCGGAAAAAAAGCCCCGGCUAACUUGGU